GACAGAGGGGGCAAGCGUUGCUCGGAAUCACUGGGCGUAAAGGGCGCGUAGGCGGGAUGGCAAGUCAGUCGUGAAAUCUCUCGGCUCAACCGAGAAACGUCGGCUGAUACUGCCGUUCUUGAGGGAUGCAGAGGAGACUGGAAUUCCCGGUGUAGCGGUGAAAUGUGUAGAGAUCGGGAGGAACACCGGUGGCGAAGGCGGCGAUCUGGGAAGAUACUGACGCUGAGGUGCGAAAGCGUGGGGAGCAAACAGG
rnacentral:rRNA from 1 species